GGAAUGGCAGGCUCCCAGCUGCCCCCGCCACUUCUGCUGCUGGCUCUGGUGCUGCUGCUGGGGAAUUUCUCUUCACAGACACCUCCAGAGGCAAGGGCUUCGCUCAGAAGGCACAUUUACCCUCGUUGCGGAGCCCAGGAAACCGAGGCGGAGGCAAGCCGAGUCUCCCAGCUGUGCCAGGCCCAGCAGACUCAAUGGAGCGGCGCCCCUAGUUCAGGGGAAGACUCCAUGAUCUCCCAUAGGUCUUCAAGUUCAGAGGCAAACCCCACCAUCCAGCCCAGCUCCAGCUCCACAAGUCCAGGGUUGGCGCCCACCUUCCCACAACCAGAAACAGUCACCCCCUCCCAGUUCUGGCUCCCCCAGUUCAGAGCUCACCACUACCUCCCACUCCGCAAAUUUCCACCAACUUGACCCUGCAUUGGAGCUCCUCUUCUCCCAGCCCCAGAACAGAGCCCCCCUCCAUGCCCUCCAACACCACUGAUGGGACCUCUGUGGCCACUGGCCCUGGGAGCUGCGAGCCAAAGCUCAUCUUUUGCCCAUCACCCACCAGAGUGAUCUCCAUGGGGCUGAGAAGGAGGGGCGCUUGGAUGGAGCAGGCGCACCUGGGAGGGGCUAGCCUUGCCAGAAUAAAGCCCUUACUGUUCCUC